ensembl:lncRNA uncharacterized LOC114786413
AUUUGUUCAUAUUUUUAUUUUGUUUAUUGACAUUAUUAGAGCAUGAUGUCAAGUAAUUUCAUGACACAGCUUGUUUUGGAUAUUUUUUUUCUUUCUAUUCUUAGCAUGCAUUUGAAUAAAAUAAAUGUAGAGUUACUUUAUAGGCCUACAUGGUGGGCUGGAGCCCAACCCCAUGGCACAUGUGUUGGUUUGGGCUGUGUCAUCUGUGACCCAUGAGUGUGUGAGUGAGUGUGAGUAUUUAUUCAUUAUGUAUGAAAUUAAAAUACAUUUUAAGAAAUGACCAUUAAAUAUAAUUUAGCAUUAACUGCAUGGCCCAUAUUUCCAUCUGCGUCCAUGGGUGAUGCUAAACAGCUGUAAAUACUCAAACUGGUAUGUAAUGGUUAUUAUAAUAUCAAUGUGCAAACAUAUUAAAUAUCUAUUUUUUAUCUUUUUUUGUAAACUCUAAAAGCGAUUCAUACAAAAUGGUGCAUUUGUUUAGUUUGCAACCUCUGACGGACAUGACUAUUCUGCUUUUCACAAUAUUAUAUCCAAGCAUGGCUGGUUUGUUUGUCCUCUGUAGUCACCAGAUCCUUUCAGAUUCUUGCGUGACAGAGCAAGUCUAUUGUUAAUUGUGUAUGAACGUUACCGUCUCUGUACUGCCCAACUUUUGGUGUGUUGAUACCAUCAAAGUCCAUAUUUGUGUUGUCUUGGUACACACAUUACACCAUAUUGACUUUCAUGGGCUGCCCCACAUUGUGCAACACAAAACUAGUAUGACGCUGCAAACCUUUUGUCACAAAAGCUGCAUUGUCAGAAUUCCCAUUGUCAAAUGAAUGUCAUAUGAACUCUGAGAGUGACAUUUAGAUAAAAGUCAUCAGGUUGGGCAGGGUAUAAGAAGUCGUACCCGUCCUCAGACAACUCACAGUUCUGUGCACGACAGAGUAAGACACUCAUCAUGAGAGGAUUCCUGCUGGUCGGGCUGCUAGCGGUGCUGGCCGUGGCGGUCAGUGAGGCAGCGCUGCUGUCCAAAUGUGACGUGAAGACCCGUCUCCAGGAGGCCAUGCAGAAACUGCCGAAAGACAUGCAGCGCAAGCUCAACGCAGAGAACUUCGUGGCCAAGACUGUGUGUGAUGCAGAAUACACCUCUGGCUUCAACACCAGUGCUGUGACCAAGGAAGUGGAGGACCGGGAACAUCGCAACAAGCGUUCAGCUAAGAAAGGAGACUUCAAGAACUCCGGUAGUUCAGAGGAGAUCCACGGUGAUAACAGCACCAGCCAUGAGAAAGGCUUUAACAGCAGCAGUCCCACAAAGCCAUUUAAUCCCCCCAAGCUUCCAAGGGGUGGAGAACAUCAUGGGAGGUGGUCUGCUGAGAAAGGAGACUCCAAGGGCUCACCACCAAAGAUCUUCAGCUCAUCAGAAGAAAUCCAUGGCAGCAACAGCAGCAGCCACGAGCAGGGUUUCAACAGCAGCAGCCCCACAAAGCCACUGAUGCCCCCCAAGCCUGAAAAGAAGGAUGGAGAACAUCGUGGUAGGCGGUCAGCUGAAGAAGGAGACUCCAGUUUUCUGACCCUGGCCUCUUCAGAUGAGGCCUCAGGUGCAAGCAGCAGUGAGGAAGAGGACAAACCCAUAAUUCGCCCCGUUUUCGGGAAACGUCGUGACAGGAGGUCCCACGGUGACCAACACCAGACGCCCCCAACAUCUUUCAUCAGCAGCAGUAACCACAGCUCAGAGCAUCAGCAUAAUGAGCAAGACAAGGGGGUGAAUCACACCAGCUCAGGCGAGAACCACGGCAACACAAAAAAACCAGAUCAAAAGGGCGGCAGUCAUCGUGGGAGACGGUCAUAUGAGGUUGGCCAUGUAAACACAAGCUCUUCCUUUGAGAUGCCGGGCAACAGGAGCCACCUCGACAGCAGCGAGGACUCUGGAAAGGAACAUGCAAAUGUUCUGACCUUCUAUGGGAUCUUCCAGUUGAGCGAUCGCGUUGCGUGCAACUCCGGCUCUGCGCAUUCACUGAACCUCUGCAACACAACCUGCGACGCAUUUCUCAAUGACGACAUCAGUGAUGACAUUGCAUGUGCUUUGAAGCUCCGAACCCAAAUGUUGCCUGGAAGUGAACACCUCAACGAAAAGCAGGAGCCGAAGGAGUGCAAGAACGUGGUCGGCUCUAGGUACUUCACUGGCUGUAAAUGA